GCCGUAGGGAAACCAAGUCUUAACAGGGCCAGAGUCAGUGGGGGCAGACCCGAAACCGGGUGAUCUAUCCAUGUCCAGGUUGAAGCUGCCGUAAGAGGCAGUGGAGGACCGAACCCACAUCCGUUGAAAAGGGUGGGGAUGAGGUGUGGAUAGGGGAGAAAUUCCAAUCGAACCCGGAGAUAGCUGGUUCUCCUCGAAAUAGCUUUAGGGCUAGCCUCGGUGUGAGUCUUGCGGAGGUAGAGCACUGAAUUUCCUAGGGGGCGUCAAAGCCUACCGAAGAAUAUCAAACUCCGAAUGCCGCGUAAUCGAUUAUCGGGAGUCAGACUGCACGAGAUAAGUUGGGCGGUCAAAAGGGAAAGAGCCCAGACCUACAGUUAAGGUCCCAAAGUGCGCGUUAAGUGGAAAAGGAUGUGGGGAUUCUAAGACAACUAGGACGUUGGCUUAGAAGCAGCCAUUCAUUGAAAGAGUGCGUAAUAGCUCACUAGUCGAGAGUCCCUGCGCCGAAAAUGUCCGGGGCUGAAACACGACACCGAAGCUUAGGAAUGUGUAAACAUUGGUAGAGGAGCAUUGCUGGCGGGAUGAAGCCAUACCGUAAGGAG
rnacentral:rRNA from 1 species